rnacentral:lncRNA from 1 species
AUGUAUUCUUACCAAUGUGUGAUAUUUUUUGCUAAUUUUUUUCCCAACUUGAUGGGUAUGAAAUGACAUCUCAUUGCUGUUUCAGUUUUCAUUAUCUGAUUACUGACAGGGUUAAGCAGUUUUUCAUAGGUUUAUUGGUGAUUCCAGUUUUCUCCUCUGGGGGUUGUUGAUAGGCUUUUGUCAUUUUUCUGUUUUUCUUAAUUGUAUCUAGGAAUUCUUUACACAGAGAUGCCACAAAGUUUAACUUUGGCCUCAGUACUCAGGAAAAGAUAUACUUGGUUUCAGCCUUGGCUUCAGGCUUUGAAAGACAGAGUAACAAAUAGCUACUUCUUUUCUGGCCCCUUCAUCAUCUGCUUGUUCAAUGGAGCUUAGGCCAGAGUCUUUCAAGAAAAAAAGUCUUAUUAGAGAAGUCUUCAUAUCUCGUGAGGAUGAAUUAAAAGCAGAAUCUCAACUUUGCUACCUUUAAAUGUCACGGAGAGAAAAAACUGCAAAACCAUGUGCAACAAUAUCCAUGAUAAAUCAUCUUUGAUCUCAACAUAACGGAGACUAUAAGGAGUAUAAAGACUAGAAGAAAGAGUAGAAGGUGAUCCACAAUCAAUUCAGAACCUGGUCUUCUAUGGUGGCUCACAGUUCCUGCACCCUACAAUAUCGUGCACCUCUCUCUAAAUCUACUGAAACGUGCAGCCUUCUUUUGGAAGAGAAAGAUUCUGAUAUUCAUUAACAAUUAAAUGAAUCUUCAAGAAGCCCAAAUAGUGAUUAUAUUUGAAUAAAUAUUUUAAUGGGAAAAAUAAGGGGGAAGGACUACACUCCUUGCUUCCUUUGGAUUUGAACUUGGCCUGGUGACUUGCCUGAGCCAGUGUGACAGAUGAGAAAGCA